CUUGGGAGGGAGUGGAAACAGCUCUUCUCUCUCCUGGACUGUGACUGGCUCUCACUGCUUCUGCAGAGCCAGAGAGAUGUUCGCCUGCUGAAGAAGGCCAUGAAAGCACACGGCAGGUUUUGCAAGUGUCCAUUAAGAACAUAAGGUACACCCAAGACUUUGGUGUUAACUCACAUCCAAGCUUUUCAUGGCAACGGUGUGAACGCAGGGAAACUGAGGCAUAGAGCAAUGACAGGAGUUGGCUGGUGGUCUGACAACGGGCUGGAAUACAU